rnacentral:rRNA from 1 species
UACGGAGGGAGCUAGCGUUGUUCGGAAUUACUGGCGUAAAGCGCACGUAGGCGGCUUUUUAAGUCAGGGGUGAAAUCCCGGGGCUCAACCCCGGAACUGCCCUUGAAACUGGAAAGCUAGAAUCUUGGAGAGGCGAGUGGAAUUCCGAGUGUAGAGGGUGAAAUUCGUAGAUAUUCGGAAGAACACCAGUGGCGAAGGCGACUCGCUGGACAAGUAUUGACGCUGAGGUGCGAAAGCGUGGGGAGCAAACAGGAUUAAGAAACCCUG